UACGAAGGGAGCUAGCGUUGUUCGGAAUCACUGGGCGUAAAGCGCACGUAGGCGGAUUUGCCAGUCAGGGGUGAAAUCCCGGGGCUCAACCUCGGAACUGCCUUUGAUACAGCAAGUCUUGAGUUCGAGAGAGGUGGGUGGAAUUCCUAGUGUAGAGGUGAAAUUCGUAGAUAUUAGGAAGAACACCGGUGGCGAAGGCGGCCCACUGGCUCGAUACUGACGCUGAGGUGCGAAAGCUAGGGGAGCAAACGGG
rnacentral:rRNA from 1 species